UACGAAGGGGGCGAGCGUUGUUCGGAUUUACUGGGCGUAAAGGGCGCGUAGGCGGCGCCGCAAGUCGAGUGUGAAAGCCCCGGGCUCAACCUGGGAGGUGCGCUCGAGACUGUGGUGCUGGAGUUCGGGAGAGGAGCGUGGAAUUCCCAGUGUAGAGGUGAAAUUCGUAGAUAUUGGGAAGAACACCGGUGGCGAAGGCGGCGCUCUGGACCGAGACUGACGCUGAGGCGCGAAGGCGUGGGGAGCAAACAGG
rnacentral:rRNA from 1 species